AGAUCGUUGGAAAAGGUGCCUUUGGUCAGGUUGCCAAGGCAACAGCUAUUAAUCUACAAGGAAGAGCCAAGAAGACACUCGUAGCUGUUAAAAUGUUGAAAGAAAAUGCUUCUGAAUCAGAGAGAAAGGAUUUGCUGUCUGAACUUGAAUUGAUGAAACAACUCAAACCUCAUCCUUACGUCAUCAAACUCCUGGGAUGCGUCACCAAAUCUGAGCCACUGUUGGUUUUGAUCGAAUAUGUUCCUUUUGGGCAUCUGUUGGGUUACCUGAGAAAGAGCCGUGGAUUAAAU